UAAAGAAACAAAAGAGCCCUCUCAAC
rnacentral:piRNA from 1 species